rnacentral:rRNA from 2 species
UGGGGAAUAUUGCACAAUGGAGGGAACUCUGAUGCAGCGACGCCGCGUGAACGAAGAAGGCUUUCGAGUCGUAAAGUUCUUUUAUAUGGGAAGAUAAUGACGGUACCAUAAGAAAAAGCCCCGGCUAACUACGUGCCAGCAGCCGCGGUAAUACGUAGGGGGCUAGCGUUGUCCGGAAUCACUGGGCGUAAAGGGUUCGCAGGCGGAAAUGCAAGUCAGGUGUAAAAGGCAGUAGCUUAACUACUGUAAGCAUUUGAAACUGCAUAUCUUGAGAAGAGUAGAGGUAAGUGGAAUUUUUAGUGUAGCGGUGAAAUGCGUAGAUAUUAGGAGGAAUACCGGUGGCGAAGGCGACUUUCUGGCCAUAAUCUGACGCUGAGGUACGAAAGCGUGGGUAGCAAACAGG